UGUGAUGUCUGUUCUAUAGCAUGUGAUGUCUGUUCUCUAGCAUGUGAUGUCUGUUCUAUAGCAUGUGAUGUCUGUUCUCUAGCAUGUGAUGUCUGUUCUCUAGCAUGUGAUGUCUGUUCUAUAGCAUGUGAUGUCUGUUCUCUAGCAUGUGAUGUCUGUUCUCUAGCAUGUGAUGUCUGUUCUCUAGCAUGUGAUGUCUGUUUUCCCCUCUCUCCACUGGGAUUCACUGCCUCUAACCCUAUUACAGGGCCUGAGUCACUGUCUUACUGGUGCUCUUCCAUGCCGUCCCUAGGAGGGGUGCGUCACUUGAGUGGGUUGAGUCACUGAUGUGAUCUUCCUGUCUGGGUUGGUGCUCCCCCUUGGGCUGUGCUGUGGCGGGGAUCUUGGUGGGCUAUACUCGGCCUUGUCUCAGGAUGGACCUGAGCCCUAGGACCAUGCUUCAGGACUACCUGGCAUGAUGACUCCUUGCUGUCCCCAGUCCACCUGGCCGUGCUGCUGCUCCAGUUUCAACUGCUCUGCCUGCAGCUAUGGAACCCUGACCUGUUCACCGGACAUGCUACCUGUCCCAGACCUGCUGUUUUCAACUCUCUAGAGACAGCAGGAGCGGUAGAGAUACUCUCAAUGAUCAGCCAUGAAAAGCCAACUCACAUUUUCUCCUGAGGUGCUGACUUGCUGCACCCUCGACAACUACUGUUAUUAUUGUUAUUUGACCCUGCUGGUCAUUUAUGAACAUUUGAACAUCUUGGCCAUGUUCUGUUAUAAUCUCCACCCGGCACAGCCAGGAGAGGACUGGCCACCUCUCAUAGCCUGGUUCCUCUGUAGGUUUCUUCCUAGGUUUUGGCCUUUCUAGGGAGUUUUUCCUAGCCACCAUGCUUCUACACCUGCAUUGCUCGCUGUUUGGGAUUUUAGGCUGGGUUUCUGUACAGCACUUUGAGAUAUCAGCUGAUGUAAGAAGGGCUAUAUACAGUGGGGCAAAAAAGUAUUUAGUCAGCCACCAAUUGUGCAAGUUCUCCCACUUAAAAAGAUGAGAGAGGCCUGUAAUUUUCAUCAUAGGUACACUUCAACUAUGAUAGACAAAAUGAGAAAAAAAAAUCCAGAAAAUCACAUUGUAGGAUUUUUAAUGAAUUUAUUUGCAAAUUAUGGUGGAAAAUUGAAUGAGUAGGUGUUCUAAAACUUUUGACCGGUAGUGUGUAUAUAUAUAUAUUUGAUUUUUUUUGCCAAAAAAUGUGGGCUCUGCUCAACCUGCCCUGAUGACGGGUCGCCACUGCCUCUGCUGAGUCCCCAACAACCGGAUGUUCUGGUUUACAAGGGAAAUGGAAUGAGAGACUGUGGAUGUUCUUGUUGUCAGGGGAAAUGGGAAGAGAGCCUGUGGGUGUUUUGGUUGUCAGGGGAAAUGGAAAGAGAGCCUGUGGGUGUUCCUGUUGUCAGAGGAAAUGGAAAGAGAGCCUGUGGAUGUUCCUGUUGUCAGGGAAAAUGGAAAGAGAGCCUGUGGGUGUUUUGGUUGUCAGGGGAAAUGGAAAGAGAGCCUGUGGGUGUUCCUGUUGUCAGGGGAAAUGGAAAGAGAGCCUGUGGAUGUUCCUGUUCUCAGGGAAAAUGGAAAGAGAGCCUGUGGAUGUUCCUGUUGUCAGGGAAAAUGGAAAGAGAGCCUGUGGAUGUUCCUGUUGUCAGGGAAAAUGGAAAGAGAGCCUGUGGGUGUUUUGGUUGUCAGGGGAAAUGGAAAGAGAACCUGUGGAUGUUCUGGUUGUCAGGGGAAAUGGAAAGAGAGCCUGUGACACAACUUCUGCUUUUGGACGUUAACAAAGCAACACUCAAUCUUAACUCCUCCUCCACAUUUACUGGAUUGGUCGAACAGUGCAGAAGAGAACCUCCCCCAACAGGUAGUUUGAAGGGGAUCUAGUUUCAGGUGUUUCUUUUACACCUGCUACAGUAGGUUAUGGAUAACAUGACAAACCUCACUUGACUUGAUAGAACCUUCUUCCCAAAUGUGAUUAUAUAUGAGUGUGUGAUAUACUAUAGUUGCUGGAAUCAAAAUAAAUGAUAAGAUGGUUUGUGAGUAAUUUAUAAAUGGUUAAUAAUUCAUUUAUAUGUGUAUUAUAUCAAUCUGUGAUAACUCUGUAAUAAAAAUGCUAUACAUGCAAAUAUGUAAUAAAACACAUUGGUUGAAAC
ensembl:lncRNA